ACAUAAUCACCCUACAAUAGGAUCAACACCAGGUCACUUUGUUUCACCCUCCAGUUGACGACAUAAUAACACAAGUAUCCACUGACGAAUUCCCACCAUACAGUUUGCUCACGACACAGACAGAACACAGCGCAGGAGCAAAACACACACAAAUCGCAACACGUCUGAUUCAACACUACCUAUCAUGACAACACAGCGAAGGACAGCGUAAGUAACGCGUGGGUAACCUCCCCUAACACAACAAAAACCAUAUGAAAAAUUACUAAUACAUGAUAAAACACUUUACGCAAUCGUAGAUAUAUCAAAGUGUAGCGGAAUAGGAAGGACACCGAGUCUGAUUAGCUAGUUGGUGAGAUAAAUGCCCACCAAGGAGACGAUCAGUAGCCGACAUAAGAGGGUGAUCGGCCACAUUGGAACUGAGACACGGUCCAAACUCCUACGGGAGGCAGCAGUGGGGAAUAUUGCACAAUGGGCGCAAGCCUGAUGCAGCAACGCCGCGUGAACGAUGAAGGUCUUCGGAUCGUAAAGUUCUGUUGCAGGGGAAGAUAAUGACGGUACCCUGUGAGGAAGCCCCGGCUAACUACGUGCCAGCAGCCGCGGUAAUACGUAGGGGGCUAGCGUUAUCCGGAUUUACUGGGCGUAAAGGGUGCGUAGGUGGUCUUUCAAGUCGGUGGUUAAAGGAUACGGCUCAACCGUAGUUAGCCUCCGAAACUGGAAGACUUGAGUGCAGGAGAGGAAAGUGGAAUUCCCAGUGUAGCGGUGAAAUGCGUAGAUAUUGGGAGGAACACCAGUAGCGAAGGCGGCUUUCUGGACUGCAACUGACACUGAGGCACGAAAGCGUGGGUAGCAAACAGG
rnacentral:rRNA from 1 species